CCGCCCGACACCGCAUCAGCUGAUCACUGAUGGCUCAACGGUAUCCGGUGGCACAACUCAAUAUCACAGCUGCCUUUUGAGCGGGUUAGCUGCAAUCCGAAACGGAGAACUCCGUUAGGACUGCGGUUAGGUUUUUGUACCCUUUUUGCGGCAGCACC
ncrna:unclassified sequences DTF2800 RNA